GACAUUUGGGGUGUUCCCAAUACGAAACUAAUAAGAAUAACGCUGCUCCGAAUAGUCUUGUCCACGUCCUUUGGUGCACGUAUGCACACAUCUCUGUGGAAUUGCUGGGUCAGAAGGGAAUGCGCCAUCUAGUGGGAAAGAGAGGCAUGUGCACCACUGACGGUGAACGCAGAGCCGAGUGAAAGGAGUCGUAUCCGAACAAGGGCUGUGGGAACUCCGGGAAGAUGUCAGAGGUGGAGGUGGCACUUCUAGGAUGGACACGUGUGGACUCUGGUGCCCCAAAGAACUCUACCUCUGAGGAUUAUUAAAGGUGCCAGCGAGGUGACAGGUGUGAAUGCCACAGACCAAACAG